rnacentral:lncRNA from 11 species
UUCCAUUUGGGGGAUGGCAGCUUACACACACACACACACAAGCGAAGUUCCCCCUCCCGGCGUCGCGAUGGGCAAGAUCAACAACAGCAGCGGCGCUGGAGCGAUGAGUCACAAGCCCAUCCUCGGCCACGGCAGCAAGAGAGGCUGCAGGACGCGCGCGGGACGAGGAGUGGGCGGAGCCUGGCCGUCCCACCAUCGAAUCCCGAGGCGUCAGACGCCUCCCCGGGUCCUAGCGCCCUUCUCUUCCCAGACAGAAAAGGCCGUGCCGCCGCGCGUCUUGCCCAACGGGACUUCCCUCCGCCCGUGUCUCAGGGACAAGCAGGAAAUUGAGCCUGAAGUGUGGAAUUGUACCCUCAAUGGCACCUUGAUGAUGUUGAAGCCGUGACAAUGAAAAAUACCUAACCAAAUUUCAAAGCAGUUUAAGUUGGUAAGUAUAACAUCAGACUGGCUAAAUCAGUUUUAAACCCUUUGAAUAGUCAUUCCUCCCAUUUGAGGUACAUACAACAACUGCUAGGCAAUUCAGUUGUGUCUAACCAGUGAUGAGAUCUUAGGAAGCCUACCUGUUCAGUUAUAUAAUUGGACAAAAACUUACCCAAAUAUACAGAUCUUUCAGGAAAUCCUCGGGAUUGCUUUGCAGAUAUUGACAAUGAGAGCAUGAGAACACUUUGACAUGGGCCAGCUGAAACAAUGUCAAUACUGUAUCAUUAAAUGCUUCCUCCCAAAAUGUGCAGGAGGGACAUUAAUCCAAGGCAGGAGUAUGUGAGGAAUCCAAUCUAAGAUUGUGGUUCAACGGGCUUGCUUAGACUACAUUUCUGGGAUCAGUUUGCAUUCUGGAAUCAUAGAAUCGUAGAAUCGUAGAGUUGGAAGAGACCUCACGGGCUACCCAGUCGAACCCACUGCAAGAAGCAGGAAAAUCUCAUUCAAAGCACCCCCGACAGAUGGCCAUCUGGUCUCUGCUUAAAAGCCUUCAAAGAAGGAGCCUCCACCACAGUCCGGGGCAGAGAGUUCCACUGUCGAACAGCUCUCACAGUGAGGAAGUUCUUCCUGAUGUUCAGGUGGAAUCUCCUUUCCUGUAGUUUGAAGCCAUUGUUCCGCGUCCUAGUCUGCAGGGCAGCAGAAAACAAGCUUGCUCCCUCUCCCCUAAGAUUUCCCCUCACAUAUUUGUACAUAGCUAUCAUGUCUCCUCUCAGCCUUCUCUUCUGCAGGCUAAACAUGCCUCACUUUGAUGGAAAGCUAUAGAUCUUAAUAAAACACACAUUUGUAGGUCCUCCGGUGUGAAUCUAUGGGGUUUUUUUUAUCAUGUCAGAAGCAACUUGAGAACAUACUGCAAGUCGCUUUUGGUGUGAGGAAAUUAGCCGUCUUCAGAGACGCUGCCCAGGAGACUUCUUUCAUGUCCCUGCAAGCUAGAGUUGACAGAUGGGAGUUCACCCCAUCUUGCAGAUUCAAAGCGGCAACCUUCAGGUCAGCUGUUAGCUAACACAAGGGUUUAACCCAUUGCACCACCGCAGUUCCUGGUGAGGGCUGACUAUGAAGUUGGAAGACCUUAAGAUUGCUAGAGAGGUGCUCUUGCAGGUUAAAAAAAAUAGCAUGAUUUUUAUUAAGUGUCCACACUUUUUUGGUUUUUAUAGUCUACAAAUUCUUUGAUUUCAGAAAUGCACCUGUAGGACACUCAGCUACAUAUGCUCUGGGGAAAACAACCAGCCACUCCUUGUCUUC